UUUAAGUCUGCUACUCAAACCCUUUUCACAAAUGAAAGAGGGAAUUUCCGCGCUCAAAUUUUCGUCAGUCCCGCAAACCUUUUCACAACCCUAACCUAAAACCCUUUCAGCUUUAAUUCGCGUGUACUUCUUCAACCUGCCGUUGCGUCUCCUCACACGAGUUAGAUUUUUUUUCUACCUUGGUACAGUCAUCGGCGAGUGAAACUUAUGGUGGUUGUUAUGAGUUUUCUAUCGAGUCUCAGAAUCGUAAAAUCAUUUUUCUCACUCAUAUUAUGUGCAAAGAAACUUAAUGAAGGUAAGAUGUUUGUUUCAAUUUGGGGAUUUAGGGUUUAUUCAUUUUAAUGCCCAUGGAAUCAUUUGUUGAUUGUGUUUGUUUUGAUUUUGGAAUUUAGGUUUUGUUUCUUUUAUUUCCAAACUACUGGUACUUCUUAUGUCUAUUUCAGGAGGAAUUGUUUUUUAAGAGAAAUAUUUUAGGCUGUGGAUACGGAUAGAAGUGGUAUAAUAACUCUCAAAGAAAUCAAAGCUGGUCUAAGAAGAUAUGUGUCUAUCAUUUGGUUUGGUUCUAAUUUGCAGAGAGUAAGAGUAAGGGGGUUUUGAUUUUAAGUUGGUAGUUCAGAUAGGUCUUUUUACAAUGAUUUGGAAAAGGUAUCUCAAGAUCAAAGACUCCGCGAGCAGGUUCGUUCAGUUUGGCAUUUGUACGUUUCAAUUAGAUUCAUCCAACCAGCCAUUUGAAGCUUAUAUCAAGGAUAGUUAUGUUGAAGGAUCACCAUAAUUCAAUAGUCAUAGAGAAAGAAAGCAACACAACAUCUAUGUUAGAGGCAAGU